rnacentral:rRNA from 1 species
UAGGGAAUCUUCGGCAAUGGGGGGAACCCUGACCGAGCAACGCCGCGUGAGUGAAGAAGGUUUUCGGAUCGUAAAGCUCUGUUGUUAAGGAAGAACGAGUGUGAGAAUGGAAAGUUCAUACUGUGACGGUACUUAACCAGAAAGGGACGGCUAACUACGUGCCAGCAGCCGCGGUAAUACGUAGGUCCCGAGCGUUGUCCGGAUUUAUUGGGCGUAAAGCGAGCGCAGGCGGUCAAUUAAGUCUGAUGUGAAAGCCCCCGGCUCAACCGGGGAGGGUCAUUGGAAACUGGUUGACUUGAGUGCAGAAGAGGAGAGUGGAAUUCCCUGUGUAGCGGUGAAAUGCGUAGAUAUAUGGGGGAACACCAGUGGCGAAGGCGACUCUCUGGUCUGUAACUGACGCUGAGGCUCGAAAGCGUGGGUAGCAAACAGG